rnacentral:rRNA from 1 species
GCGAUUUAUCCGAUACCAGCCCUAACUGGGGAAACUCUCCAGCUAUACAUGCACCACAAGUUCCACCCGCAAGGAAAGAGCGCAUUUAUUAGAACAAAACCAAGCGGCUUCGGCCGUCCAUUGUUGACUCAGAAUAACUAAGCUGAUCGGACGGUCUUGUACCGACGACGUGUCUUUCAAGUUUCUGCCUUAUCAACUUUCGAUGGUAGUGUAUCUGACUACCAUGGUGGUGACGGGUAACGGAGGAUAAGGGUUCGACUCCGGAGAAGGGGCCUGAGAAAUGGCCACUACGUCUAAGGAUGGCAGCAGGCGCGCAAAUUACCCACUCUCAAUGCGAGGAGGUAGUGACGAGAAAUAACGAGGCCGUUCUCUUUKAGGGCGGCCCUCGGAAUGGGUACCAUUUAAACCCUUUAACCAGUAUCUAUAAGAAGGCAAGUCUGGGGCCAGCAGCCGCGGUAAUUCCCGCUCUCAAAAUGCAUAAAAUUAUUGCUGCGGGUAAAAAGCUCGUAGUUGGAUCUGGGCCUGUGCUCCGGGCCACCUCCAGGAGCGCACUGGGUGUCACACGCUUUCCUGCAGUGUUCAGCCCCGGCGCCUUCACCGGCACCCGUGUGUUGAUGCUGCCAGUUUACUUUGAACAAAUCGGAGUGCUCCAAACAGGGGUUUGCUUUAACGUGCGCGCGUGGGAUAAUAUAAGAGGAUUUCGGUCAAUUUUUAUAGGGUUUAUAGGGCGAGAUAAUGGGUAACACAGACAAACGGGGGCAUUUGUAUUGCUGCAUGAGAGGUGAAAUUCUCUGGACCGUAGCAGACAUCUAUCCGCGCAAAGGAUUGCCAAGAAAUGUGCUUCAUUAAUCAAGAACCAAAGUCACAGGUCGAAGCGAUAAAAAUCCGCCCA